UACGUAGGGGCCUAGCGUUGUCCGGAUUUAUUGGGCGUAAAGAGCGUGUAGGCGGCCCGGUAAGUCCGCUGUGAAAGUCGGGGGCUCAACCCUCGAAUGCCGGUGGAUACUGUCGGGCUAGAGUGCGGAAGAGGCGAGUGGAAUUCCUGGUGUAGCGGUGAAAUGCGCAGAUAUCAGGAGGAACACCGAUGGCGAAGGCAGGUCUCUGGGCCACUACUGACGCUGAGAAGCGAAAGCAUGGGGAGCGAACAGG
rnacentral:rRNA from 1 species